rnacentral:rRNA from 1 species
UACGUAGGGUGCAAGCGUUGUUCGGAAUUAUUGGGCGUAAAGGGCGCGUAGGCGGUCGGAUAAGUCUUGUGUGAAAUCUUCGGGCUCAACUCGAAGUCUGCACAGGAAACUAUCUGGCUUGAGUGUGGGAGAGGUGAGUGGAAUUCCUGGUGUAGCGGUGAAAUGCGUAGAUAUCAGGAGGAACACCUGUGGCGAAAGCGGCUCACUGGACCACAACUGACGCUGAGGCGCGAAAGCUAGGGGAGCAAACAGG